UACAGAGGGUGCAAGCGUUGUUCGGAAUUAUUGGGCGUAAAGGGCGCGUAGGCGGUUCGGCAAGUCUCUAGUGAAAUCUCUGGGCUCAACUCAGAGUCUGCUGGGGAAACUGCCGGGCUUGAGUGUGGGAGAGGAGAGUGGAAUUCCCGGUGUAGCGGUGAAAUGCGUAGAUAUCGGGGAGGAACACCUGUGGCGAAAGCGGCUCUCUGGACCACAACUGACGCUGAGGCGGCGAAAAGCGU
rnacentral:rRNA from 1 species